rnacentral:misc_RNA from 1 species
AAGUCGUAACAAGGUUUCCGUAGGUGAACCUGCGGAAGGAUCAUUAUCAAUGGACCCUCUUCAUUCACACCGUGCACUGGGCGGUAAUAGCCCAAAUCACUACAUAAUAUAACAGCAGCAGAGUCAUUUUAUCUAUAGACAACUUUUAGCAACGGAUCUCUAGGUUCUC